rnacentral:rRNA from 1 species
GCAAGUCGAGCGCACCCUUCGGGGCGAGCGGCGGACGGGUUAGUAACGCGUGGGAACGUACCCAGAUCUACGGAAUAGCCUCGGGAAACUGAGAGUAAUACCGUAUACGCCCUUCGGGGGAAAGAUUUAUCGGAUUUGGAUCGGCCCGCGUUAGAUUAGUUAGUUGGUGGGGUAACGGCCUACCAAGACUACGAUCUAUAGCUGGUUUUAGAGGAUGAUC